UCUGUGUUUUAUUUUUUAUUAAUGCAUGAUUCUUAAAUAAUACACAAUUAUCGUUUAACAAAAAGGCCAUAUGACAUAUAUUAGAUGAACAUGUACAAUUCACAAAAAAAUUACAUAAGAAUCACUGUUGACUUGUAAUGCAAAGUUAUACUUUUUUUUACCUUUUGAUACAUAGUGUACAAAAAGUAUGUAUAACUAUUCUUGCAUUUUAUCUACAGUUUACACAAUGUGAAUCCAAGAUAUGACUCUAAAACACAGAUGAUUUUUUAGACAGAUAUAAGUAGACAAGGCUUCAGAAAACUUACAACUUUACCUUGUGAAUGUUCAUAAUAAAUAACAAAUCAAAAUAGUAUGUACAAAAUAAAACAAACAAAAUCACAGUCAGUAGAAAAUACAUAUUAAUAUUAGCACACAACUAAACCAGGUAUUCUUAAGUUAGGGUAGACAUUAAAUAAACAAAUAUAGCUUUGGGUGAUGAAAAAAAUUUACACUUAUUAAAUACUAAUUGACAGGCCAUGUGUUGUGGCCUUAUGUCCCACUGGGGAUGAAGAGGAUAAGUAAAUAAGUAAUAAGUAAAUAAGUAAUUUACUAAUUGAAUAUUGUUUAAGAGGCACUAGCUGUCAAAUUCAUGGUCACCGAUUUGACUAAAAUUCUCAUAUAUGAUUUAUAACAAUGUAAAACAUUUAUCCAAACUAUCAAAAGUCUAAAAUAAAAAGUUUACAGAGCAUGGGGUAGAUAAUAUAUAGGUUCGUUUCGUGUGUAUUUUAGUCCACACACCAUCUAAUUAACUAUCGAUUUGACCUCAGAUGACCAUAUGAUCGAUGUAUACAUAAUUAAAGAUAUGAAUAGAUUAAACCAACAUGUGCAAUUGGAUUUUUUAUAGGUCUGUUUGAUUUAAUUUUAUAGAUUAAAAAUAGAUGUUUCUCACUGUUUUUAACCGUAUAAGAAUGAUUUUAUGUGCAUCAAUUAUUAAUCAAAUGAUUUACCGUAGUUUCACUUUCAUUGUUGACAUUCUUUUUCUUUAAAUAACCAGUACACGUACAAUGCAUACGUUGUCAAUCUUUAGCUAGGGGUUAAAUUGAAGUUCACCUGAAUACGGAUUUAAAGAGGUUGACUCAUUCACUUGCAAGUGAAUAACUAAUUAUCAAUGUUUCUUAGUGUAAUUUGACAAAAUUGAACCUUUUUAGCUGCAAAAAGCGAAUUGUUAUUUCACUAUUUCACUUUCAUUUUUGAUUGAACAAAAAAAUCAAACUGUAGAUUUUUUAUAUAUCUCGUAGCUAGUGCCCCUUUAAAGUAUACAGUAUACCACACAAUUCAUUUGUGUUGUUUGAAACUGUUUUAAUAUUGUUCAUUUUUUUAUUCAGGAAGUUGAUAACUUUUGUUCAUAUAGAUUGUGAAGAACAUUACUAAAAUAUAAAAUUUUAAGAAACUUAACCUUGAUAACAAGCUGUGAAUGAAUAUAAUACCAUAUAAAUAUUUUGUUCCAUAUACUUAUGGUAUUGUAUUCUUCAACAGCUUGUUAAUAUAUGAUAUUAUCAAGGAAAGAAUGUUGUUUCUAACAAUCACUGUAGUUGGUUUUUUUCAAAUUCCUA
rnacentral:lncRNA from 1 species